UACGUAGGGGGCAAGCGUUGUCCGGAAUCACUGGGCGUAAAGCGCACGUAGGCGGAUGUGUCAGUCAGGGGGUGAAAUCCCUAGGCUCAACCUAGGAACUGCACUCGAAACUGUUUUAUCUUGAGUGCCGGAGAGGAAAGCGGAAUUCCUGGUGUAGAGGUGAAAAUUCGUAGAUAUCAGGAGGAACACCAGUGGCGAAGGCGGCU
rnacentral:rRNA from 1 species